rnacentral:rRNA from 1 species
AACGAACGCUGGCGGCAUGCCUAACACAUGCAAGUCGAACGGGAUCCUAGCUUGCUAGGUGAGAGUGGCGGACGGGUGAGUAACACGUGGGAAUCUGCCUUUUGGUUCGGGAUAACCGCGGGAAACUGCGGCUAAUACCGAAUGCCCUCGAGAGAGGAAAGAUUUAUCGCCAGAAGAGGAGCCCGCGUCCGAUUAGGUAGUUGGUGGGGUAAAGGCCUACCAAGCCGACGAUCGGUAGCUGGUCUGAGAGGAUGAUCAGCCACACUGGGACUGAGAUACGGCCCAGACUCCUACGGGAGGCAGCAGUGGGGAAUAUUGGACAAUGGGGGCAACCCUGAUCCAGCAAUGCCGCGUGAGUGAUGAAGGCCUUAGGGUUGUAAAGCUCUUUUGUGCGGGAAGAUAAUGACGGUACCGCAAGAAUAAGCCCCGGCUAACUUCGUGCCAGCAGCCGCGGUAAU